UACAGAGGGUGCAAGCGUUAAUCGGAAUUACUGGGCGUAAAGCGUGCGCAGACGGUUGCGUAAGUCAGAUGUGAAAGCCCCGGGCUCAACCUGGGAAGUGCACUCGAAACUGCAGAACUCGAGUCCUGGAGAGGAAGGCGGAAUUCUCGGUGUAGAGGUGAAAUUCGUAGAUAUCGAGAGGAACACCGGUGGCGAAGGCGGCCAUCUGGACCGCAACUGACGCUGAGGCGCGAAAGCGUGGGGAGCAAACAGG
rnacentral:rRNA from 1 species